UACGGAAGGCAGCAGUGGGGAAUAUUGCACAAUGGGCGCAAGCCUGAUGCAGCCAUGCCGCGUGUAUGAAGAAGGCCUUCGGGUUGUAAAGUACUUUCAGUCGUGAGGAAGGUGUUAAGGUUAAUAACCUUAGCAAUUGACGUUAGCGACAGAAGAAGCACCGGCUAACUCCGUGCCAGCAGCCGCGGUAAUACGGAGGGUGCGAGCGUUAAUCGGAAUUACUGGGCGUAAAGGGCACGCAGGCGGUUAAUUAAGUUGGAUGUGAAAUCCCCGGGCUUAACCUGGGAAUGGCAUUCAAGACUGGUUAGCUAGAGUCUUGUAGAGGGGGUAGAAUUCCGAUGUGUAGCGGUGAAAUGCGUAGAGAUGUGGAGGAAUACCGGUGGCGAAGGCGGCCCCUGGACAAAGACUGACGCUCAUGUGCGAAAGCGUGGGGAGCAAACGAGGGAUUAGAUACC
rnacentral:rRNA from 1 species